rnacentral:pre_miRNA from 1 species
CUUAUACUCCCUCCGUCCAACAAAGGAUGUCUCAAUUUUGACCAAAUUUGAAUGCAUCUAUAUACUAAGUCAUGUCUAAAUACAUCCAAAUUUUAACAAACUUGAGACAUCUUUUGUUGGACGGAGGGAGCAGAUG